CGACCCGAAUUUAAUUCGGAUCACAUAGCCUCUCAACGGGUCGUUUUAUGACCCGACUCUUCGUUUCUUUCUUCUUUUGUAAAAUUCUCCUCCUUGACUCUGUCACUGCCACCAACUACGAGAUUUUGAUUUUCCAUUGACGCGUGAAAUGGCUGGGAAAAGCAACGAAAAGAAGGGAGGAAGAAGAGGGAGAGCGUGCGUGGUGGUUUUGGGAGACAUUGGACGAAGCCCUCGAAUGCAGUACCACGCUCUUUCACUCGCCAAUCAGGCUUCCCUGGAGGUUGACAUUGUUGCAUAUGGAGGUUCAGAGCCCCAUACUGCACUUCUUGCCAACCCAUCUAUUCAUAUUUACAUAAUGAAGCAGUGGUUAACAGCCAGUCAAAGCUUACCAAAGAUACUUCGACCAAUAAUGCUAUUGUUGAAGCCAUUGGUUCAAUUUUGCAUGCUUCUUUGGUUCCUUUGUGUAAAAAUACCAUCUCCUGAUAUUUUUAUUGUCCAGAAUCCUCCUUCAGUUCCAACCCUGGUGGCUGUAAAAUGGGCUAGCUGGUUGAGAAAUUCAUCUUUUGUUAUAGAUUGGCAUAAUUUUGGGUAUACUCUACUUGCACUGUCAUUGGGGAGAAAUAGUCAUUUUGUCUCCUUAUAUAAAUGGUUUGAGAAGCAUUAUGGAAAAAUGGCUGAUGCUUCUCUCUGUGUAACAAAAGCAAUGCAGCAUGAAUUGGCUCAAAACUGGGGAAUAAAUGCUACAGUUUUGUAUGAUCAGCCUCCUGACAUCUUUCAUCCAGCUUCACUGGAGGAGAGGCAUAAGUUAUUUUGCAGAUUAAAUGAGGACUUGUUUCGGUCUCUUGGUGUCAGAGAUUGUGUUAGUAAUGGAAAUUCAUUGGUUGCUAGCUGUCACCAAAACGAGACUCUGUUUGCAACUGAGGUUGGUUCAAACAUAUAUUUGAAGCCAAAUCGACCAGCACUUGUUGUAAGCAGUACGAGCUGGACACCGGAUGAAGAUUUUGGCAUUCUCUUAGAAGCUGCUGUAAUGUAUGAUAGACGUGUUGCUGCCAUAUUAGGUGAAGAUGAUUCAGUAGAUGAGGAGGUCAUUUGGAAAGAAAUAUCUGAUGGAAAACAAUGUUUAUAUCCCAGAUUGUUAUUCAUCAUAACUGGCAAAGGCCCAGAAAAAGAGAAGUAUGAGGUAAAAAUAAAGAGAAUGAAACUUAAACGUGUGGCAUUUCGUACCAUGUGGCUGUCAGCUGAUGAUUAUCCAUUACUGCUAGGAUCAGCUGAUCUAGGUGUUUGUCUGCAUACUUCAUCAUCAGGAUUAGACCUUCCAAUGAAGGUUGUGGAUAUGUUUGGCUGUGGACUGCCUGUUUGUGCUGUUUCAUACUCUUGUUUUUACCUUCUUGAAGCAUUAGGGAACUGGUUAGAGUUGACAAAAAUGGUCUUCUCUUCUCUUCUUCUUCAGAGCUAGCUGAUGAACUUCUGCUUCUCUUCAAGGGAUUUCCUGAUGACUGUGAUGCUUUGAAGGUCCUCAAAUAUGGUGCAUUAGAAACUGGUUCUUCAUCAAGGUGGGCUACUGAAUGGGAAGAACAUGCAAAGCCGCUGAUAACUGAGGUUAUAUCAAGAUUUUGACACACUGUUGGUUCUUAGAAGACAUCUUUAACUUCUCUAACAGUAUUGGAUCGAGCUGUUGGCCUGAUCCAGUGGAGAGUUAACUAGUACUAUGUGCCUGAUUGCAUAAAAAUUUGAUGAAGUUUUGGCAAUUUCCAAGGCAGAGUUACCUUGUACAGAAUAGUUAUGCAGCAGGGUUUCCAACAUAUGUCUGUUGUUGACUUGCUGUGUAUGAAGUUUGCAAUAGGUGUUCUCUGUAAAAAUUGGCUUUAUGAUUUAGGAUUUCAUUUUCUUUGAAUGUGACUUGAUUCUUGGUCCAUAUGUUUCGAUGAAAGUGAGGUUAUUAUACUAAAGCUUCUAGAUAAGAUUUUUCUGGUGAA